rnacentral:siRNA from 1 species
CGAUUGGUGACCAUUAUUUAG